UGGGGAAUAUUGGACAAUGGGGGCAACCCUGAUCCAGCAAUGCCGCGUGUGUGAAGAAGGCCUGCGGGUUGUAAAGCACUUUUAGUGGGGAGGAAAGACGGUGUGUUAAUAGUACAUCGUUGUGACGUUACCCACAGAAAAAGCACCGGCUAACUCUGUGCCAGCAGCCGCGGUAAUACAGAGGGUGCGAGCGUUAAUCGGAAUUACUGGGCGUAAAGGGCACGUAGGUGGUUAUAUAAGUCGUUAGUGAAAUGCCUGAGCUUAACUUAGGCCUGUCUGACGAAACUGUAUAGCUUGAGUUCUGUAGAGGGUAGUGGAAUUCCUGGUGUAGCGGUGAAAUGCGUAGAUAUCAGGAGGAACACCCGUGGCGAAGGCGGCUACCUGGACAGAAACUGACACUGAGGUGCGAAAGCGUGGGUAGCGAACAG
rnacentral:rRNA from 1 species